GAUGAACGCUAGCUACAGGCUUAACACAUGCAAGUCGAGGGGUAACGAGAGGAAAGCUUGCUUUCCUUGUCGACGACCGGCGCACGGGUGAGUAACGCGUAUCCAACCUGCCCCCAACUAGGGAAUAACCUUGCGAAAGUAAGACUCAUACCCUAUACUUUCCUCAGAUGUCAUCUGACGAGGAAUAAAGAUUUAUCGGUUGGGGAUGGGGAUGCGUCUGAUUAGCUUGUUGGCGGGGUAACGGCCCACCAAGGCAACGAUCAGUAGGGGUUCUGAGAGGAAGGUCCCCCACAUUGGAACUGAGACACGGUCCAAACUCCUACGGGAGGCAGCAGUGAGGAAUAUUGGUCAAUGGGCGGAAGCCUGAACCAGCCAAGUAGCGUGCAGGAUGACGGCCCUAUGGGUUGUAAACUGCUUUUAUACAGGAAUAAAGUUAGCCACGUGUGGUUAUUUGUAGGUACUGUAUGAAUAAGGACCGGCUAAUUCCGUGCCAGCCGCCGCGGUAA
rnacentral:rRNA from 1 species